rnacentral:rRNA from 1 species
CCUACGGGUGGCAGCAGUGGGGAAUAGUGGACAAUGGGCGAAAGCCUGAUCCAGCCAUGCCGCGUGUGUGAAGAAGGCCUUCGGGUUGUAAAGCACUUUCAGUGGGGAAGAAAGCCUUGGGGCUAAUACCCUCGAGGAAGGACAUCACCCACAGAAGAAGCACCGGCUAACUCCGUGCCAGCAGCCGCGGUAAUACGGAGGGUGCGAGCGUUAAUCGGAAUUACUGGGCGUAAAGCGCGCGUAGGCGGUCUGAUAAGCCGGUUGUGAAAGCCCCGGGCUCAAACUGGGAACGGCAUCCGGAACUGUCAGGCUAGAGUGCAGGAGAGGAAGGUAGAAUUCCCGGUGUAGCGGUGAAAUGCGUAGAGAUCGGGAGGAAUACCAGUGGCGAAGGCGGCCUUCUGGACUGACACUGACGCUGAGGUGCGAAAGCGUGGGUAGCAAACAGGAUUAGAUACCCUAGUAGUC